rnacentral:rRNA from 1 species
CCAACGGGGGGCUGCAGUCGAGGAUCAUUCGCAAUGGGGGAAACCCUGACGAUGCGACGCUGCGUGGAGGAUGAAGGCCCUCGGGUUGUAAACUCCUGUCAUGGGGGAAGAGGAGAGCGUCACUAACACUGACGCGAUUUGACGGUACCCCAAGAGGAAGCCACGGCUAACUCUGUGCCAGCAGCCGCGGUAAUACAGAGGUGGCGGGCGUUGUUCGGAUUUACUGGGCGUAAAGGGCGCGUAGGCUGCCGCGCGUGUCGGGUGUGAAAUCCCAGGGCCCAACCCUGGAAGUGCGCCCGAAACUGUUUGGCUGGAGUGCGGGAGGGGGGAUCGGAAUGCAGGGUGUAGCGGUGAAAUGCGUUGAUAUCCUGCAGAACACCGGUGGCGAAGGCGGAUCCCUGGAACGCAACUGACGCUGAGGCACGAAAGCCGGGGGAGCAAACA